rnacentral:rRNA from 1 species
GGUUAAGCGACUAAGCGUACACGGUGGAUGCCCUGGCAGUCAGAGGCGAUGAAGGACGUGCUAAUCUGCGAUAAGCGCCGGUAAGGUGAUAUGAACCGUUAUAACCGGCGAUUUCCGAAUGGGGAAACCCAGUGUGAUUCGUCACACUAUCAUUAACUGAAUCCAUAGGUUAAUGAGGCGAACCGGGGGAACUGAAACAUCUAAGUACCCCGAGGAAAAGAAAUCAACCGAGAUUCCCCCAGUAGCGGCGAGCGAACGGGGAGGAGCCCAGAGCCUGAAUCAGCAUGUGUGUUAGUGGAAGCGUCUGGAAAGGCGCGCGAUACAGGGUGACAGCCCCGUACACAAAAGCGCAUGUGCUGUGAGCUCGAUGAGUAGGGCGGGACACGUGGUAUCCUGUCUGAAUAUGGGGGGACCAUCCUCCAAGGCUAAAUACUCCUGACUGACCGAUAGUGAACCAGUACCGUGAGGGAAAGGCGAAAAGAACCCCGGCGAGGGGAGUGAAAAAGAACCUGAAACCGUGUACGUACAAGCAGUGGGAGCACAGGUUUACCUGUGUGACUGCGUACCUUUUGUAUAAUGGGUCAGCGACUUAUAUUCUGUAGCAAGGUUAACCGUAUAGGGGAGCCGGAGGGAAACCGAGUCUUAAUUGGGCGUUAAGUUGCAGGGUAUAGACCCGAAACCCGGUGAUCUAGCCAUGGGCAGGUUGAAGGUUGGGUAACACUAACUGGAGGACCGAACCGACUAAUGUUGAAAAAUUAGCGGAUGACCUGUGGCUGGGGGUGAAAGGCCAAUCAAACCGGGAGAUAGCUGGUUCUCCCCGAAAGCUAUUUAGGUAGCGCCUCGUGAAUUCAUCUCCGGGGGUAGAGCACUGUUUCGGCUAGGGGGCCAUCCCGGCUUACCAACCCGAUGCAAACUGCGAAUACCGGAGAAUGUUAUCACGGGAGACACACGGCGGGUGCUAACGUCCGUCGUGAAGAGGGAAACAACCCAGACCGCCAGCUAAGGUCCCAAAGUCAUGGUUAAGUGGGAAACGAUGUGGGAAGGCCCAGACAGCCAGGAUGUUGGCUUAGAAGCAGCCAUCAUUUAAAGAAAGCGUAAUAGCUCACUGGUCGAGUCGGCCUGCGCGGAAGAUGUAACGGGGCUAAACCAUGCACCGAAGCUGCGGCAGCGACGCUUAUGCGUUGUUGGGUAGGGGAGCGUUCUGUAAGCCUGUGAAGGUGUGUCGUGAGGCAUGCUGGAGGUAUCAGAAGUGCGAAUGCUGACAUAAGUAACGAUAAAGCGGGUGAAAAGCCCGCUCGCCGGAAGACCAAGGGUUCCUGUCCAACGUUAAUCGGGGCAGGGUGAGUCGACCCCUAAGGCGAGGCCGAAAGGCGUAGUCGAUGGGAAACAGGUUAAUAUUCCUGUACUUGGUGUUACUGCGAAGGGGGGACGGAGAAGGCUAUGUUGGCCGGGCGACGGUUGUCCCGGUUUAAGCGUGUAGGUGUGUGUUCCAGGUAAAUCCGGUUCACUUUAACACUGAGGCGUGAUGACGAGGCACUACGGUGCUGAAGCAACAAAUGCCCUGCUUCCAGGAAAAGCCUCUAAGCAUCAGGUAACAUCAAAUCGUACCCCAAACCGACACAGGUGGUCAGGUAGAGAAUACCAAGGCGCUUGAGAGAACUCGGGUGAAGGAACUAGGCAAAAUGGUGCCGUAACUUCGGGAGAAGGCACGCUGACACGUAGGUGAAGUGAUUUACUCAUGGAGCUGAAGUCAGUCGAAGAUACCAGCUGGCUGCAACUGUUUAUUAAAAACACAGCACUGUGCAAACACGAAAGUGGACGUAUACGGUGUGACGCCUGCCCGGUGCCGGAAGGUUAAUUGAUGGGGUCAGCGCAAGCGAAGCUCCUGAUCGAAGCCCCGGUAAACGGCGGCCGUAACUAUAACGGUCCUAAGGUAGCGAAAUUCCUUGUCGGGUAAGUUCCGACCUGCACGAAUGGCGUAAUGAUGGCCAGGCUGUCUCCACCCGAGACUCAGUGAAAUUGAACUCGCUGUGAAGAUGCAGUGUACCCGCGGCAAGACGGAAAGACCCCGUGAACCUUUACUAUAGCUUGACACUGAACAUUGAGCCUUGAUGUGUAGGAUAGGUGGGAGGCUUUGAAGUGUGGACGCCAGUCUGCAUGGAGCCGACCUUGAAAUACCACCCUUUAAUGUUUGAUGUUCUAACGUGGACCCGUAAUCCGGGUUGCGGACAGUGUCUGGUGGGUAGUUUGACUGGGGCGGUCUCCUCCUAAAGAGUAACGGAGGAGCACGAAGGUUGGCUAAUCCUGGUCGGACAUCAGGAGGUUAGUGCAAUGGCAUAAGCCAGCUUGACUGCGAGCGUGACGGCGCGAGCAGGUGCGAAAGCAGGUCAUAGUGAUCCGGUGGUUCUGAAUGGAAGGGCCAUCGCUCAACGGAUAAAAGGUACUCCGGGGAUAACAGGCUGAUACCGCCCAAGAGUUCAUAUCGACGGCGGUGUUUGGCACCUCGAUGUCGGCUCAUCACAUCCUGGGGCUGAAGUAGGUCCCAAGGGUAUGGCUGUUCGCCAUUUAAAGUGGUACGCGAGCUGGGUUUAGAACGUCGUGAGACAGUUCGGUCCCUAUCUGCCGUGGGCGCUGGAGAACUGAGGGGGGCUGCUCCUAGUACGAGAGGACCGGAGUGGACGCAUCACUGGUGUUCGGGUUGUCAUGCCAAUGGCACUGCCCGGUAGCUAAAUGCGGAAGAGAUAAGUGCUGAAAGCAUCUAAGCACGAAACUUGCCCCGAGAUGAGUUCUCCCUGAGACUUAGAGUCUCCUGAAGGAACGUUGAAGACGACGACGUUGAUAGGCCGGGUGUGUAAGCGCAGCGAUGCGUUGAGCUAACCGGUACUAAUGAACCGUGAGGCUUAACCUUAC